rnacentral:lncRNA from 1 species
UUUUCUUGAACCCCAAAACUUUCUGAUUUUUUCUUUUCUUGAACCGCGGAUGAUCCCUGAUCGCCGCAUUUGGACCCCGAUAACUUCAUGUCAAUCUUGCUGCCAAACAAUGAACCUCGUUCUCCAUUUUCCAUGCUAAUUCCGUUGGCAAUGCUGGAAAUAACAACAACCACCACUCUGAUGAUGGCAUAUCAGAGAAUAUUCGAC